CUCAACUUAUGGCCAGUUUCAGUACAGCUCGGGCAGACCACAUCAGCUUUACACUGUUUGACCAAAUGUCCAUAGGCCCAACACUUAAUGCAAUGAUGGAAACUGUAAAAAAUCCCUUAUCUUGUGUGGUGGCUAGCCGAUGCUUAAAUAAUCAUUGUUUCACUGAUUGCCUUUCUAGUCCUCAGAUCCACCUCCAUCACCCAAGAGCACAGGUUUCUGUCUGCUCAUUUUCCGAACUGGAACACUCGAAAAUUGUUUGGGGAAAAUAGCUCACUCUCAAUGUGAUCAUUGAAAAUCUGCAUAUUACUUAUAAGAGCCUUAGCAGUAACCUCCAAAGGGGCUCUGGUAACCAUGAUCCUUGGAUGUCUCCAUGUUGAAUCCUUGACAUCAUAGUCUUUCUUCUCUUGACGUUUAGCCUUCAACUUUGUUGCACCAGAACUGGUGCAACAGGUGAUGACCACACCAGAUCUUAUGGUUUUUGCAUUCUUCAC
rnacentral:lncRNA from 1 species